GGGGCCGGCGCGCCGGGCCCCCCACCCUGCCCUCAGCGCCCUACGACCACAGCCGGCGGCCGGCAUUCCGGGGCGGCGGGUCCGCAACUUCGCGCCCGGGCGCCAGCGCCUCGCAGCCCGGCGGGCGGGAGACAAAAGCUGCGGCGCCGCCGGAGGCCGCGCGGCCAAGCAAGCAAUCGGUGUGCAGGAACACCCCUGUGCCGUGAUGCCGGCUGGGCACCAGGAAUAUCAAGGGAGAAGAUUCAGAUGAGACAGUCGUGUUAAAAAAAUAGAACUCCAACUGUGUGAGAAGUGCUAUAACAAGGCCAACCCCACAGGCUGCCCACAUUUUACUUCUAGUCACAGUCUGUUGCAACCUACCCUGCAUGCUAAAGACAACCCUGAAAUAAAGAGCAUCGUGAUGCCUUUCUGAACCAAAGGGGAUUCACAGAACCCACCUGAGAAGGCUGUCGUGAACAUGAAGUGAGACUAGAUGCGUGCAGAACAGCUACAGAAAAAUACACGAGACAAGCUAAAUACACUGGACUGGAUGUGGCUUUAACUGAUGAUGAUACGGCCAGAACACACCCGUCACGCCUCCUAUCACAAGUCCUUGCUUCCCACGUUAUCCGUAAUCCCAGACCAGAAUCCUCAAACCACUCCGUAUAACUACGAAUUGAGUCCCAUCUCCCACCUCUCCCCAGCCUCCCUAGCCUUUCCCCUGUAUCCCCUGGGGUGCAAUCUGUCACCAGCCCAAGCCCCUCUGUCCUGAAAGCCACCCCUGAGCGUUCCCUUCCUGUCUUGUUUUACUGGCACCUGGAUGUCUCUGAAAAUGCUGCCUCUUCCACAGCCCCGCCUACCGGCAAGGAUGAAGGGAGACAAUAGUGAAGGGUGUUUUUUCUCUUGCACCUCACACAUCUUGGGUCAAGGGAGGUGCUUCCAAGCUACUUCUUCCUCCUGCAAAAACUCCAGCAUCUUUGGUAAUGAAGGGGUUAGACCCCACCCCUUGCUACCUUUUUGCUAUCUUCUCCACCCACUUGUAUUCUCAUACCUAAAUGUUGCUCUCACCGAUAUCUGCACCUCCAAUAAUCUCAUUUCAGGCAUCUCAGUCUCUGAUGCCUCCUAUCUUUCCAAUUAACUUUUUUGUGGAACCCCCAUUCCAACUAUUCUUUGAUCUCAUAGCGACCUAAUCCACCAAAUAAGUUUUUAUUGUACACCAUGCUCUACAUGUGAGCGCUUCUUCCUUAUCUAGCUUGAAUUCCAAGGUUCAUUACUGUGAUCUGUCUCUCACAAACACUCGUUUUCUUUGCCUCUCUCCAUUCGGGAACUCGCCGAAAUCCAAAACUCUGGUUAAAUCUAGCUAGCCACCCACCCCUCUGUACCCAAGCAGUUGAAUAUUACUGAAGAAAAUCGCACAACCCGGCCUAUUGACUGGUCUCAGUGGAAACUUAGCACUUAUUUUUUUUUAGGUUUUAUUGAAUUUCUUACUAUACCACGUGUGUUUUAUGUUUUUUUUGGCCACAAGUCAUGAGGGAUCUUAGCUGCCUGACCAGGGGUUGAGCCCACACCUCCUGCCUUGGAAGGUGAAGUCUUAACCACUGGGCCACCAGGGAAGCCCUGAAACUUAGGACUUUAAGUCUCAAAAGAGCACUCUCUCCAGCAACCUUCUACAUUUCCAAGCUGUGUUCGUUUCCUCUUCCUCUCAAAGG
ensembl:lncRNA